CUGAGGUAAACCCCAUGAAGCUGGCAGCUGGGGGUGCAGCAGGCAUGAAGGACGGGGUGGGGUGGGGUGGGUCUUAUUUGAUGUAGAGGACUGGCUACGGGAUGUUUUCUGUGUUGAUGCUUUCUGCCUUGGACCUUACCUAUCACCCCCUACCAGCUACCAGCGUCGGGACAGCCCGGAGCUGCUGCUCCUGUCAGAAGAAAGCAUGAAGGAUGCCUGGGCCCAAGUGAAAAACUACUGCCUGACCCUCUGGUGUGAGCACACAGUGGUGAGUGGAGGGAGCCAGGCACCUAGGGCCAUUUCCACUCCUGUAUGCCACACGUUGGCUCAGUGAUGGGGUCACUGUGCCUUACAGGCUCAUCCAGUUAUAGCAGGGAGAGGGCAUCGGAGGAGUGGGGCCCAGAAGUGCACAGCAAGCCUCAAGCUGCCUCCACUAGAUUGACUGGGCCAUCAUUUGCAACAAGGACAGGACUGAAGCUACAGCUAAGCUAAGGUCAUAGAUGCUUUUCACCUUAGGCUCCUAGGAGGCAAAUUUGGGGAUGAUAGGAAGCAGUGAGCACUUAUUUUACAGCAGAGUGUCAGCCUCUGCCUGAGAGUUAGUAUCAUGGUCAGGCCCUGAGCCAAAUGCAUUCUGGGAGGGAAUUUUUAUUUCCUAAGGAGAAAUAACGUACAGGAGCACUGGGCGGCACCAAGCAUGCACACGGUACAGACAUGCAUGC
rnacentral:lncRNA from 1 species